rnacentral:rRNA from 1 species
UCUUAAUGAUAGUUGGGAAAUGUUUUUUCGCCAAGGGAUCGGGCUAUAUGGUAUCAGUUAGUUGGUGAGGUAAUGGCUCACCAAGACGAUGACGCCUAGCUGGUCUGAGAGGAUGAUCAGCCACACUGGAACUGAGACACGGUCCAGACUCCUACGGGAGGCAGCAGUGGGGAAUAUUGCACAAUGGGGGAAACCCUGAUGCAGCAACGCCGCGUGGAGGAUGACGCAUUUCGGUGUGUAAACUCCUUUUAUAUAGGAAGAUAAUGACGGUACUAUAUGAAUAAGCACCGGCUAACUCCGUGCCAGCAGCCGUGGUAAUACGGAGGGUGCAAGCGUUACUCGGAAUCACUGGGCGUAAAGCGCGCGCAGGCGGUUUGAUAAGUUGGAUGUGAAAUCCUAUGGCUUAACCAAAGAACUGCAUCCAAAACUGUCAAACUAGAGUCUGGGAGGGGAAGAUGGAAUUAGUGGUGUAGGGGUAAAAUCCGUAGAGAUCACUAGGAAUACCAAAAGCGA